rnacentral:rRNA from 1 species
UACGUAGGGGGCAAGCGUUGUCCGGAAUCAUUGGGCGUAAAGAGCUCGUAGGCGGCUUAGUAAGUCGGGUGUGAAAACCCCAGGCUCAACCUGGGGACGCCACCCGAUACUGCUAUAGCUAGAGUCCAGUAGGGGAGUGUGGAAUUCCCAGUGUAGCGGUGAAAUGCGCAGAUAUUGGGAGGAACACCAGCGGCGAAGGUGGCACUCUGGGCUGGUACUGACGCUGAGGAGCGAAAGCGUGGGUAGCGAACAGG